rnacentral:rRNA from 1 species
GGGCCCGCACAAGCGGUGGAGUAUGUGGUUUAAUUCGAUGCAACGCGAAGAACCUUACCAGGGUUUGACAUCCUGCGAAUCUCUUGGAAACAGGAGAGUGCCUUCGGGAACGCAGUGACAGGUGGUGCAUGGCUGUCGUCAGCUCGUGUCGUGAGAUGUUGGGUUAAGUCCCGCAACGAGCGCAACCCUCGUCCUAUGUUGCCAGCACGUAAUGGUGGGGACUCGUAGGAGACUGCCGGGGUCAACUCGGAGGAAGUGGGGACGACGUCAAGUCAUCAUGCCCCUUACAUCCUGGGGCUACACACGUACUACAAUGCUACGGACAAAGGGCAGCAAGUUCGCGAGGACAAGCAAAUCCCAUAAACCGUGGCUC